rnacentral:rRNA from 1 species
UACGUAGGUGGCAAGCGUUGUCCGGAUUUACUGGGCGUAAAGGGCUCGUAGGUGGCCAACUAAGUCAGACGUGAAAUCCCUCGGCUUAACCGGGGAACUGCGUCUGAUACUGGAUGGCUUGAGUUUGGGAGAGGGACGCGGAAUUCCAGGUGUAGCGGUGAAAUGCGUAGAUAUCUGGAGGAACACCGGUGGCGAAGGCGGCAUCCUGGACCGGCAUUGACGCUGAGGAGCGAAAGCCAGGGGAGCAAACGGG